ACGGAGGGUGCAAGCGUUAUCCGGAUUUACUGGGUUUAAAGGGUGCGCAGGCGGUAAUUUAAGUCAGUGGUGAAAGCCUACAGCUCAACUGUAGAACUGCCAUUGAUACUGGAUUACUUGAGUAUGGUAGAGGUAGGCGGAAUACAACAUGUAGCGGUGAAAUGCAUAGAUAUGUUGUAGAACACCGAUUGCGAAGGCAGCUUACUAAACCAUUACUGACGCUCAUGCACGAAAGCGUGGGGAGCGAACAGG
rnacentral:rRNA from 1 species